rnacentral:lncRNA from 1 species
AACACGGAGUCCCCUUCGGAAUCCUCGGAGUCAAGCUCUGUGGAAGCAGGAACUGCUUUUGGUUAUCCUUGAAUAAGCAGGAACAAAGAUUGAUUCUCUGGCACACAGGUUUCAGACAAGCAACUGUUGGAUUAGAGCAUACAGGGACAUAUAUUGUCCUACUGCCCCCUGUGGUUAGUAUGAUUUGUCUGACUAGCUAGUUAUUAAUAGUUGUCCCCUUCUCCUACCACUUCAAGCCCACUUCAACCAGCUCCUUCCAAAUGCUCAAGAGAAGACUUCAGAAGAAAUUCAAAGUUUUCAAAAUGAUGUUGGAUUGAAAGUUCUGAUGAUGUUCUAUAAACCAAGAGUUUGCAAACUGUGGCCAAAUCCUGCUCACCCUCUGAUUGUGUAUAGCCCCAAGCUAAGAAUGGUUUUUACAUUUUAAAGUAGCUGGAAAAUAUCAAAAGAAGAGUAAUAAUAUUUUGUGACACAUGAAAAUUCAUGAAAUUCAAACUUCAGUGUCCGUAAAUAAAGCUUACUGAAACAGAGC